rnacentral:tRNA from 1 species
UCCCUGAUGGUCUAGUGGCUAGGAUUCGGCCCUCUCACCGCUGCGACCUGGGUUCGAUUCCGGGUCAGGGAA